ensembl:misc_RNA Metazoa_SRP Metazoan signal recognition particle RNA
GCCAGGCAUGGUGGCGCAUGCCUGUAGUCCCAGCUACUUUGGAGGCUGAGGCAGGAGAAUUGCUUGAACCUGGGAGGCGGAGGCUGCAGUGAGCUGAGAUCAUGCCACUGCACUCCAGCCUAGGCAACAGAGUGAGACUCUGUCUCAA